CUUCAGUAGCUUCUUUUUGGUGAACGGGACGGCAACAAGGUUUGCCGCGCAACAGCCAGACAGCACCGGAAACACAAGAUCCGGCGUAGGAAAGUCUUGGCAGCUUUAAGAGGGCAGACGAUAGUGACUCCUAGGGCAACCAUUCAUCCAACUAAUUCCUUCCGAUCCGGUCCAAGGAGAAAUCUGGCGCCGAAACCCUUCAUGAGUUGUUCGAAAGGAACUGUCGCCAACAAACAUCGUUCAAUGUACCGGUUCAAAACUUAAAUCAUAGGGAAAAUCGAUAAUGUGAAUGUGAUAAUGUAAUCUAAAUAAAUAAAAUGUUGUAAACCAUA